UCCGGCUUAUCACCGGCGGUUUCCUUAGAGUGCCCAACUGAAUGAUGGCAACUAAGGACGAGGGUUGCGCUCGUUGCGGGACUUAACCCAACAUCUCACGACACGAGCUGACGACAGCCAUGCAGCACCUGUCACCGCGUCCCCGAAGGGAACCCCCGAUCUCUCUGGAUAGCGCGGGAUGUCAAAGGCUGGUAAGGUUCCUCGCGUAUCAUCGAAUUAAACCACAUGCUCCUCCGCUUGUGCGGGCCCCCGUCAAUUCCUUUGAGUUUCACCGUUGCCGGCGUACUCCCCAGGUGGAUAACUUAAUGCGUUAGCUGCGCCACCGAUAGCCUAAGGCCCCCGACAGCUAGUUAUCAUCGUUUACGGCGUGGACUAC
rnacentral:misc_RNA from 1 species